UACGUAGGGAGCAAGCGUUGUCCGGAAUCAUUGGGCGUAAAGAGCGCGUAGGCGGCCCUGUAAGUCCGUUCUGAAAGUCAAAGGCUCAACCUUUGAAAGCGGAUGGAUACUGCAGGGCUAGAGUCCGGAAGAGGCGAGCGGAAUUCCUGGUGUAGCGGUGGAAUGCGCAGAUAUCAGGAGGAACACCAAUGGCGAAGGCAGCUCGCUGGGACGGUACUGACGCUGAGACGCGAAAGCGUGGGGAGCAAACAGG
rnacentral:rRNA from 1 species